AAUAAGUGUAAUCGUGGAAAUUCGUGUCCAACGUUUGACCGUCCGUUUUAUUUGAAAACUUUAUAAAAUUUUUUAAAAAAAUUAGUCACACAUAAAGUACUAUUCAUGUUCUAUCAUUUAAUAGCAAUAAAAAUAGUAAUCAUAAAAAAUUUUCAAAUAAAACGAACAGUCAAACAUUGGAGAUGAAUAGUGCAAAACUACACUUAUU
rnacentral:pre_miRNA from 1 species